ensembl:miRNA
CAAAUACAUAGGUGUUAUCCUAUCCAUUUGCCUCUUUCGGAAAAUGGAGGCAAAUGGACAGGAUAACACCUCUGUAUUUG